GCAGCAUUUUAUAGGAUCUUAAAAGAAGACAAGUUGUAAAGGAAAUGUUUUCAGCUUAGAGCCAUUAAUUAGAAGAUUUACAAUCAAUAUUAUUCAAAAGAAAUAGGAACCUCAGUUACACCUAAUUAAGAGCUGCAGCUCUGGUUUUGACAAGAGAUUAGAGCAUAAACGAAAGAAAAGUUACAUGACAUGCUGAACCCACAGGUAGACUAGCAACCACAACCACAACCUCAAU
rnacentral:misc_RNA from 1 species